GAUGAACGCUGGCGGCGUGCCUAAUACAUGCAAGUCGAGCGAACAGACGAGGAGCUUGCUCCUCUGACGUUAGCGGCGGACGGGUGAGUAACACGUGGAUAACCUACCUAUAAGACUGGGAUAACUUCGGGAAACCGGAGCUAAUACCGGAUAAUAUAUUGAACCGCAUGGUUCAAUAGUGAAAGACGGUUUUGCUGUCACUUAUAGAUGGAUCCGCGCCGCAUUAGCUAGUUGGUAAGGUAACGGCUUACCAAGGCAACGAUGCGUAGCCGACCUGAGAGGGUGAUCGGCCACACUGGAACUGAGACACGGUCCAGACUCCUACAGUAGGCAGCAGUAGGGAAUCUUCCGCAAUGGGCGAAAGCCUGACGGAGCAACGCCGCGUGAGUGAUGAAGGUCUUCGGAUCGUAAAACUCUGUUAUUAGGGAAGAACAAAUGUGUAAGUAACUAUGCACGUCUUGACGGUACCUAAUCAGAAAGCCACGGCUAACUACGUG
rnacentral:rRNA from 1 species